AAUUCCAUCAAUACUCUACCAAUACAUCUCAAUUUAGUAAGAAGUUAAAUUGCUCACCUUGCACGGCUCUAACUCGGGUUAAAGCACAUCAAAAUCAGUCCAUAAGAGACACUAAACUCAUCUCAAAGGAGUCCAAUUCCCUGCUGUGGACUGCAUUAAAACUGUUUCAAAGCUACAACCAAUACAACUAUUAUAGCAUCAGGAUAAGGAAAGGUAGUUAGCUAAUCACCUUGUACAGCUUCAACUCAGGUUCGACUGAGUUGGGAGUGAAGAAUCACAACAAAAACACCCUUUCUUCAGCUGCUACAAGCAUCCCCAACUCUGCUGGCAGCAAAAACAAAGAACAAGCUCAACUUCCCUACUACAACUAUCAAUACCUCAAACUAGAGAGGAAAGUUAGAUUACUAACCUCACUAAGCUUUAACUCAGUUCCCAACUAAGUUAGAACAGAGAAACACCUCUUCUAUAGCUGUUUAGUUCAUCCCAAAACCAGCUGAUAACAAAAAACCAACAACCAACUCAACUUCACUAGUAUAGCACUAAUCUAGAGAGAAGUUGAAUUAUUUACCUUACCCAGUCUCAACUCAGCUUCU
rnacentral:lncRNA from 1 species